GAACCCGCUAUCGUCGAACUCGACGCCACCACCAUCAAAACCGCAGUCCCCUAGCGCCCAACCAUCGAAGAGCAAAGGAAUGUCAACCCCCAAAUUACAUCACACACCCUUUGCGUCUGGACGAACCACGAGUGUUGCCGCCCGACGCACGAUUCCUUGCCGAAACCAAGGAACUAUUGUCGGUCCGCUCCAUGUCAUGAGUGGCCAUGUUUCCGUCACAGCCUUCGGAAAAGGUACUCCUCCUAUCUACGUAGUUCACUAGGUUCUCCUCUCCUUUUUUUCUCAAGAUCACGCGCAUAUCACGUCACUAUGUCGGGUUUGGGCGGGAUUCCUGUUAGAAUUAUAGACAUUUUCCGUAUCAUUUUAAUUCCAUAAAUUAAUAUUAUGAUGAUGACAUAUAAAAGAUAAUUAACCAUAGAAAUCGUAAUCUCAAUUAUAUCCAUAACAAUAUGGAUCAUGAGAACACAAAGCAUAUGAAUUAUAUAGAUCAUAUAAAUACGAUAAACAUAUAAACUGACUGAACAAUUGAAAAUAAACAAAUAGAAACAUAAACAGCAUGAUUGUAAAAUUAAAACAAACAGAUAUAACACAUUAUAAGGUAACAGAACAGAUGAGAUAAACUCUUUGCUAUACAUGAAACAGUACAAAUGCAUAUAUAAAACAUAUAUAAUCUGUAGAACGCAAAACAGUAAGGAAUUAAACUGAUCAUACACUCCCAUGCGCUCUGAUCCAGAUCCUUGUCCAACUUCCUUUGUCAUGUCGCAGAUGUUUUGGGCAGUCGCGUAGACGCUCCCCAAAAACCUAAUUGCCGAUCCCCCGUGCAAGGUCUCGAACGGCACCGGCUUCGGAGGCACCUGCCCUCUCGCUUCUCUGUGCGCGCAGAGUCACGAGAUGGAAAUACCCUCACUCGGCGGCUGGACUGUGAUUCUGAAAGUGGUGUGUUCGCGCGUACCGAGUGACAGGGGUGCUCCUCUAUUUAUCCUCUCGCAGAGGGAAGCUGAAGGAGAAAGGUCGCCGAGUCACGCCAAGGGUCGGUCAGCUCUCGCCGAGUCAUGCCAUGAGUCGGCCAGCACUCGCCGAGUCACGCCAUAAGUCGGCCAGCUGAAGGAGAAGGGUCACUCGGCUGGCUGACGAAGAGACAGAGUCACCCGGCUGACGAAGAGACAGGGUCACUCGGCUGACGUACGCGGUUAGUGAGUGCUAAAAAUUAACACAACCACACCACGCCCGCUCGCCUGCCUGCCUGCCUGCCUCGCCUUGCCACGCCACGCCCGGCCCGGCCCGGCCGCCGGCGGCGGCGGCGCGCGCGCGUGUGGCACGCCCUUGUCCAUUUCCUGACUUCUCAAGUGGAAUAAAUCUCACCAUAUAAGUCAAGGCAAAAGACCCUUGGACUUCCAAUGUGGUACUAUUGGUAUUCUCCACCAUUACACACCCUAGAGUUUAUUCAAUAAAUGGGCCAAGCCCAUAAAAGAUCCAACAAUCCCCACCAAACUCUAGGGUUUGUAAUGAUGAAGUAUCAGAAUCACAAUCCUUUGAUAUACCAGUGUUUCGAUGGAGACUGUUAAGUUGAACAUCCAUCUAGAAUAAGAGUUUCACUCAUUCACAACUGAACAAUGGACUAAGCCUUGAAUUGACAGUUUUGUGCGAAAUAAGAUUCACUCAAAUCCUUUGCUGAUACUAGGCUGCAAAAGGGUAUUCCCGCUGUUUAGAAGCAUAUAAGUCACACUUCAGUGCCUUUCAUGAGUAUUUAGGGAUUACCCAAGUUCCAUAGACUGUGACCAGCAGUCUGACUCAUAUAGGUGUAUUCCUCAAAAGAUGUUCUGUAGGACAACAUCUCACCUUUAUAAGACUCUUGGAAUACAUUAAGGUAAAUACUAUCCUGCCUUACAGAUAGGAAAGAUGUGCAUCAGAAAUGAGUUAAGAAAGAGAUCUUUCCUCACAACCUACUCCUAGCUUGUUUCUCCACUCUACUUCACGGGAUCUCCGAUCACAUAGAGCAGGUUACCACUAGAGUAGAUCUCACAUGGGUCUCAUACCCAUUUCCCUCGAUGCACUUUCUAUCACAUUGCGUGAUAGACCCUUAGUGAAUUGAUCUGCCAGAUUAUUCGAUGUGUGGACAUAAUCCACAGUUAUAACUCCGGAGUUUUUCAACUUUCUGACAGAUUUCAAUCUCCUCUUAACAUGCCUUGUAGACUUCAUGUUAUUCCUAGAACUGUUAACCUUUGUAAUCACCGUUUGGUUGUCACAGUUCAUGGAAAUAGCCGGUAUCGGUUUUUCAACUACCGGUAAGUCCAAUAGGAAAUCACGAAGCCACUCGGCCUCAGCCCCAGCAGUGUCUAAUGCUGCGAGUUCUACUUCCAUUGUAGACUUCAUUAAGAUAGUCUGCUUGCAAGACUUCCAGGAAACAGCGCCACCUCCAAACAGAAACACAUAUCCGCUUGUGGCAUAAAGCUCAUCAGCAUCAGAAAUCCAGUUGGCAUCACAAUAGCCUUCCAGCACUUUUGGGUUUCCGGUAUAAUGAAUACCGUAUGUCAUAGUACCUUUCAAAUACCGCAACACUCUCUCAAGAGCACGCCAGUGAUCAUCUCCUGGUUUCGACACAAACCGACUUAGCUUACUCACAGCAUAAGAGAUGUCUGGCCUUGUUGCACUUGCAAGGUACAUGAGCGAGCCAAUGAUCUGGGAGUAUGUCAAUUGAUCCCUUGCUAUUCUCCGAUUCUUUCUCAAUAGCACACUAGGAUCAUAAGGUGUUGGAGCAGGAUCACAGUCACUAAAACCAAAGCGACUCAAUACCUUUUCCACAUAAUGGGAUUGUAACAAAGUUACCCCACCAUCAGCUUCUCUAACAAGCUUGAUGUUUAGAAUGACAUCAGCUUCUCCCAAAUCUUUCAUCUCGAAAUUGCUCGAUAGAAGAUUUUUAACUUCCUCAAUCACAUUGAGAUUUGAUCCAAAGAUCAAAAUGUCAUCAACAUAAAGGCACAGCAUAACAGACUCACCCCCACCAUACCGAUAGUAUACACACGUGUCAGAUUCAUUUACAACAAAGCCAGCUGCUAUAAGAGUAUUAUCAAACUUUUCAUGCCAUUGCUUAGGUGCUUGUUUUAGGCCAUACAAUGAUUUUAUCAACCUGCACACCUUGUUCUCUUGACCAUCCGCAAUGAACCCUUCUGGCUGAUCCAUGUAGAUCUCCUCAUCCAACUCUCCAUUAAGGAAAGCUGUCUUAACAUCCAUCUGAUGAAUGAUAAGACCAUAAGAGGCUGCCACGGCUAUUAAUGUGCGAAUCGUAGUCAAUCGAGCCACUGGUGAGUAGGUAUCAAAGAAAUCUUCACCCUCCUUUUGGGUAUAUCCUUUGGCCACAAGCCUUGCCUUGUACCUCUCGAUUGUACCAUCAGGCCUAAGCUUUUUCUUGAAGAUCCAUUUGCAACCUAUAGGUUGACAACCAUAAGGACGGUCAACGACCUCCCAAGUUCCAUUAGACAUAAUAGAUUCCAUCUCACUCCUUACUGCUUUCUUCCAUAAGUCAGCAUCAGGAGAGGAAUAUGCCUCACUAAUGGUAGUUGGUGUGUCUUCCACAAGGUACACUAUAAAGUCAUUACCAAAGGAUUUUGCAACCCUCUGUCUCUUGCUCUUUCGAGUGACUAUAGUGUCAUCCUCCUCAGGGAUGUGCUCGUGAGAAUCCUCAGCAUGAUCUAUAGGAAUCGACAGUUCAUGCUCAUGAGGAAUUAUAGUCUCAUGACUUGUAUCACUAGGUGUAUUCUUCAUGGGAAACUCAUUCUCAAAAAAUGUUGCGUCUCUUGAUUCCAUGAUAGUAUCAACAUACAUAUCUGGCACAUCAGAUUUUAUAAUUAAGAACCUAUACCCAGUGCUGUGAAAAGAGUACCCAAGGAAUAUACAGUCAACAGUUUUAGGCCCAAGUUUACGCUUUUUGUUGAUUGGCACAUUCACUUUAGCCAAGCAACCCCAAGUGCGCAAAUAUGAGAGAUUUAAUCUUCUCUUUUCCCAUUCCUCGAAUGGUGUGAUCUCUUUGUUCUUUGUUGGAACUCUAUUCAGGACAUGACAUGCUGUCAAAAUCGCCUCACCCCACCAUGCCUUGGAUAAUCCCGCUGUACUCAACAUGGCAUUCACCAAAUCUGUUAGAGUGCGGUUUUUCCUUUCAGCAAUCCCAUUGGAUUGUGGUGAGAAUGGCGGUGUCCUCUCAUGAAUAAUACCAUGUUCCACGCAGAACUCAUCGAACACAUUAGAGAAAAAUUCUCCACCUCGGUCGGACCUUAAACGUUUUAUUUUCCUCUCAAGUUGGUUCUCUACUUCAGCUUUGUAGGCCUUAAAAUAAUUGAACGCUUCAUCUUUUGUUUUUAAGAGAUACACAUAGCAAAAUCUAGUGGAGUCAUCUAUAAAAGUGAGAAAGUAUCUUUUACCACCUUUGGUCAAAAUUCCAUUCAUCUCGCACAGAUCAGAAUGAACAAGUUCUAGAGGUGCCAAACUCCUCGCCUCAGCAACCUUGUGAGGCUUGCGAGGUUGUUUUGAUUCAACACACACAUGGCACUUAGACUUUUUGACCAAGUUAAAUUUAGGAAUUAAAUUUAUAUUUGCUAACCGCAUAAGACAGCCAAAGCUUGCAUGACAAAAACGUGAAUGCCAUAAAUCCGACUCAUCAGAAAAAUGAACAGAAUUCACGAGUUUAUUACACACAUCAUGCAGUGAUAAGCGGAACAACCCUCUGCAGUCAUAUCCUUUACCAACAAAAAUACCAUGUUUAGACACAACACAUUUAUUAGACUCAAGAACAACUUUGUAUCCAUCUCGACAUAGCAUAGACGCGCUAACGAGAUUCUUCUUGAUAGAGGGCACAUGUUGAACGCUCUUCAAUGGCACCGUCUUUCCCGAAGUAAACUUCAGAAUGACCGUACCAACACCAAGAACAUGAGCACGCGACCCAUUUCCCAUUAACAAGGCGCCAGACCUCCCGACCUAGUAGGAGGAGAACAUAGAGGCAUCAGCACACACAUGAAUAUUUGCACCACUGUCCAUCCACCACUCAGGUGAAUUACAAACUGAGAGAACAAAUGGUAAAGAAUUACCAUACCCAGAUGUUCCAUCUCCAGUUUCAGUGGUUACAACAUUAGCUGAUUUCUUGUCCUGAGUGAACUUGCGAUCAGGGCACUCUCUAGCUCAAUGUUGAUCACUGCCACAGACAAAGCAACCUCCCUUUCCCUUGUUAUUGUUGUUCUUCUUUUUAAACUGUGCUGUUUGAACAGGUUUAUUCGCGUUCUCUGGUUUGUUCUGGUUUUUCUUCUUGUUAAACUUGCGGAAGUUUCUCUUCUGCACCACAUUAGCAGUAGAGGUCUCCACACCUUUUCCAUUGUCCUUUGAUCUAGCUCUUUCCUCAACAUCAAGAGUACCAAUGAGCUCCUCCACAUUGAACUCUUGUCUCUUAUGUUUGAGAGAGGUAGCAAAGUCCUUCCAAGAAGGUGGCAACUUGGCGAUUAUACCGUCAGCCACAAACUUGUCAGACAGAGGACAAGGAAAAAGUUCGAGUUCCUUAGCUAGUGCCUGAAACUCAUGAGCCUGUUCCACUACAGAUCGGUUCUCAACCAUCUUGUAGUCAUACAGCUGCUCCAUGAGGUACAGCUCGCUACCAGCGUCAGUAACUCCAAACUUUCCAACAAGAGCAUCCCACAGCUCUUUCCCUGUGGGAAGGAUGAUAUAGCUUUUCUGGAAUUUUGUAUCCAGUGCGCUAAUUACUGCUCCUCGAAAGAGGUUGUCUUCAGCCUUAAACUUAGCCUCAUCCUCAGGAGGUAAGUUGGCAGGCUUGCCCUCAGCGGCAUGAAAACAAGACAUUGCAGUUAGCCACAAUUCCAUCUUAGCUUUCCAUAUCAAGAAGUUUUUACCAUCAAAAGGAUCAGGCUUUAGCACAGCAGCAAAACCUCUGACAGAAAAAUGCCUAACAUUAGGUUUUUGGAUUGUUAGAAUUAUAGGCAUUUUCCGUAUCAUUUUAAUUCUAUAAAUUAAUAUUAUGAUGAUGACAUAUAAAAGAUAAUUAACCAUAGAAAUCGUAAUCUCAAUUGUAUCCAUAACAAUAUGGAUCAUGAGAACACAAAGCAUAUGAAUUAUAUAGAUCAUAUAAAUACGAUAAACAUAUAAACUGACUGAACAAUUGAAAAUAAACAAAUAGAAACAUAAACAGCAUGAUUGUAAAAUUAAAACAAACAGAUAUAACACAUUAUAAGGUAACAGAACAGAUGAGAUAAACUCUUUGCUAUACAUGAAACAGUACAAAUGCAUAUAUAAAACAUAUAUAAUCUGUAGAACGCAAAACAGUAAGGAAUUAAACUGAUCAUACCCUCCCAUGCGCUCUGAUCCAGAUCCUUGUCCAACUUCCUUUGUCAUGUCGCAGAUGUUUUGGGCAGUCGCGUAGACGCUCCCCAAAAACCUAAUUGCCGAUCCCCCGUGCAAGGUCUCGAACGGCACCGGCUUCGGAGGCACCUGCCCUCUCGCUUCUCUGUGCGCGCAGAGUCACGAGAUGGAAAUACCCUCACUCGGCGGCUGGACUGUGAUUCUGAAAGUGGUGUGUUCGCGCGUACCGAGCGCGCGUACCGAGUGACAGGGGUGCUCCUCUAUUUAUCCUCUCGCAGAGGGAAGCUGAAGGAGAAAGGUCGCCGAGUCACGCCAAGGGUCGGUCAGCUCUCGCUGAGUCAUGCCAUGAGUCGGCCAGCACUCGCCGAGUCACGCCAUAAGUCGGCCAGCUGAAGGAGAAGGGUCACUCGGCUGACGUACGCGGUUAGUGAGUGCUAAAAAUUAACACAACCACACCACGCCUGCCUGCCUCGCCCGGCCCGGCCGGCGGCGGCGGCGCGCGCGCGCGUGUGGCACGCCCUUGUCCAUUUCCUGACUUCUCAAGUGGAAUAAAUCUCACCAUAUAAGUCAAGGCAAAAGACCCUUGGACUUCCAAUGUGGUACUAUUGGUAUUCUCCACCAUUACACACCCUAGAGUUUAUUCAAUAAAUGGGCCAAGCCCAUAAAAGAUCCAACAAUUCCAGCGAGCCCCCGCUGUGUUGGCCAUGAACGCCACCGCGUCUAGGUGGCAUCGAAUGGAGAGAAGAGUGCGUCCUUUAGAUCUAAACGGGCGGUCUAGAUUAAAAACACAAAUACCUCUUCGUGGCAUUAAAUCGUAGCCAUGGAUGUGCUAGCCGAUGGUGGAGAGUAGAAGCAAUACGUGGACGACUCCGUGACCAUUGAUUCUAGCUCCGUGGGCGGUUGUUGCGUACCGUUUUGUUUAUAGUGGGAUGUAAUCCAUGCCGUCGAAAUCAGAUCAGAUGGUUGAGAUACAUAGAUACCCCUUGAGUUGUUCGCUUUUGUAAAGGAGAUCCCAAAAACUAGGAUAUCAACUUGUCAUCCAUCACAAGUCAAAAAUAAUCAAAGAAAGGUCCUAGAAAUUACACCAUGCACCAUGGCUUUUAUUUAAAUAGAAUCCACGUUAAAUAGUUAACAGUUUACAUAAAUUAAAAAUCUAGAAAUUGAAUUUUUAGUAUAAAGAUAAAUCCAAAAGAUUAGAUAAAUCAUAACUUCUUUGUUUUAACUUCGAUUUUAGUGGUUCUUGAAUCUACGAUUUCGUAGCGACGCAUAAUAUAUUAUUGUUUGGUUUGUUUCCAUCUUUGGUGUAAUGUUAUUUUUAUUCAUUAUUUGCAUGUAUGUAUGUUUUGAUGCGAAUAGAAGCAAGGUGAUGAGGAAUCUGAAACCCAACUUUUGGGACAACAUCUG
rnacentral:lncRNA from 1 species